rnacentral:lncRNA from 7 species
CACUCCGCCGUGUCAGGGCAGUGGAGGCAGACAGAGGCUGAGCCGUGGUGCCUGAGCCCUGCAAACUGGUGUCGAGAGGCCGACAGACAGCACUGCAAAAAGUUGGGCUGCUGCUCCACUGCUUUCCCUGCGACUGUGCUCCUGGAGGAGCGGAGCCCUGCCAACAUCCUCCCGAGGCCCACGGGCAGCCAAGCAGAGCGGGACCCAGCCAGGAUCAGCACCUCACCCCACAUGGCCGAGGGGCCCAGCUGGAGAGAGCUCACCCCGGGCAGUGGGGACAGCGAGGGAGCCAGGGGAGCCACGGGGAUCACCCCAGGAUCUACGGAUGUGGAGGGCGCUGGGCAAGGGCAAUGCUCAGGCCUCCGUGCUGCAGAGCCAGUGUGGGACAAGGUGAGAGGGGCGGCGGCAGCGGUGGAGGUGGAGGAGCAGUUCCUGCACUUGGCCAUCAGGAAGCAGGUGUCCUACAGCCCUGUCCUUGCACGGGAAAACAGGGAGCUCCCAGCAGGGAGAAGGAGCGGCGAUGCUGAGGGGAAUGUUCACAUCCUGCUCUCCGCUCCACGUGCGCCCAGGAGCUGGGAGGAUCUAGCAAGGAGUCCCAUAGAAACCCCCUCACCACAGUAACACGUGGGUCCAGAGGCACUUUCCAAGCCCCAGUUCGGAGUUUGGAGGCCCUCUUCCACGGGCCGUUGCCCAUCACCAGAGUCCUCAAUGUCACACGGAGGUGGAGGCCGCGGUGCUCCUGCUGCCGAGCCGCCCGCUCCUGCUGGGGCUCAUUAGUCAUCAGGAGGGGCAGGCGGCAGGAGCCGCUAUAUAAAGGCUUUGAAAUGAGCAGAAAUGAUAUGAAGCCUAUGGAAAUAAAGCUCUUUC